UUACCACAGAGACAACCGAUAGCAAAAUAUAUGUGUUCUCGUGCAUCUUAUAGCACCGUGCAUAUGCAAAUUACCUGCAAUAUCAUAAUAUUCAUUUUAGAAAUGGAAAACAUAACUUUCACAUGUACAAUAUUCAGCACGGCCCGCUGUAAUAAUAACUGAAUUUGGCCAACACAACCGCAGACAAGAUGGCAUAGGUUGACCACAUGAGUUCCCCAUCAUAAGAUGGAUGGUAAAGACUGACGAUGACGAAGCUGGCUGGCGUGCAAAGCAACAGCAUAAAUCCUGCUACCAGCUCUGUCAAAUGAAGCAUGGUUCCUCUGAAGCAGUCAAGUGCGGAAAGCAUAGUUUCACUAUGCCAACGAGAAUAUGUUCAAUUGUGUUAUCUAAAAGCUGUUGCCACUCAGUAGUCUUGCCAUGCUAGCUCUGACAGAGCUGGCUCACUUCAUGCUGCUACUAUCCCUACUAAUACGAACCAAUGUUUGAUGGAUUGUCAUUCUUUUGCAGAAAACUAAGUUUAAUCUUGUACAACCACAAUUUGUUAUCAAA